rnacentral:rRNA from 1 species
UGGGGAAUAUUGGGCAAUGGGGGCAACCCUGACCCAGCGACGCCGCGUGGGGGAAGACGGCCUUCGGGUUGUAAACCUUUCUUGUACGGGAAGAAGGAAGUGACGGUACUGUAUGAAUAAGUCCCGGCUAACUACGUGCCAGCAGCCGCGGUAAUACGUAGGGGACGAGCGUUGUCCGGAAUUACUCGGCGUAAAGGGCGCGCAGGCUGUGCUGCAAGUCAGCUUUUAAAUGUAUGGGCUUGACCCGGGCAUGCGGUUGAGACUGCAGUGCAGGAUUGCGAUAGAUGCAAAUGGAAUGCCCAGUGUAGCGGUGAAAUGCGUAGAUGUUAGGAAGAACGCCGGUGGCGAAGGCGACUUGCUGGGCAGCAAAUGACGCUGAGGCGCGAAAGCCAGGGG